CUGGAAAGGUGGGCGUGUCGGUGAGGUCGAAGGUCGUCGAGGAGAUGACAUGCGUAGUGACUCGGCCCAGAGGCCGAGGAAGGGCUCACAUUCUUCAGAGAAGGGUGCAGGCAGAUUGCAAACCAGGUGGAAUGCAGGAUAAGAACUGCUCUGUGUCAUAUCAACCAGCUUCUACAGUGGAAUUCAGUCAAGAAUCUAUCGUUAUGAAGCCUGGUGGUUACAGCGAAGACGAAUCGACUGAUGUAUUUAUGGGCGAGUUCUCUUCGGACUCCUCAUCCAGUAGAGGAACAAAGAAAGCUAGAGCAUCCUCCUCCUCAUUCAGGAAGGAGAGUGGAUAUGGAUCUGACCCUAUAACGAAUAAAUGUACAAAUAGAUCAUCACGUAAUAGUUUUCAAUAUAGAUCAUAUUCAUCUGUAACUUCAAACGGACGUGCAAGGCCAUCUUUAGGUCGAGGAUCAAGAUCUCAUGUUGUUGACAACCAUUCUUUCUCAACCACAAGUAGAACCACAAGUAGAACCAAAACAAAUUAAUCAUCGUACUUCGAUUAAAUGUGGUAUUAAAAUUUCGAUAUUAAAGAACACAUUCUGUCUGUGUUUUGUUUUGUCUCAUUUUCUUUCAUGUGGCUUCUGAGGGUGACCAUAUUAAAUGCCAAACACCUGAUGUCCAACCACGGAUGAUUGCCUCGGGUGAACUGUUAUUGGUGCUCGAAUUACUGACAAGAAUACGACUCAAAGUGAACUUGUUUCAUCCUCCAUCAAUUCCUUAUUAUAACAUACAUUAACCUUCAUUGCCACCCUUACUUUGAUCUUGGAUCACUUCACCUUUUUAUCCUAUCCCCACGUUCCCCACACAUGUGGUGUUCUUUUCACCUAUCAUAUUAUUUUGUUGCGUCAGCAAUUGUGUUGGAAAUGUGUUGUUGUUGUUUUGAAA